rnacentral:miRNA from 1 species
UGUUGGGAUUCAGCAGGACCAU